GCUGGCUGGUGGAGACCACAUACGGCUCCUACUGUGCCACAGCCCAGCAGUGAAACCCGACACGCAUCUUGGCUCCACAAGGUGCUGGGCAUUUGCCUUCUUAUCAGGCUGGGCACAUUCCUUGACCAAGUGACCACCUGGGUUGCCGGUCAGGGUAGGUCUACUUCCGGCUGUGUGUGGAUUCCCAUUGCUGCCUGUCCUGCAAGCAGGGCAUCUGUAUUCUUCAUCCAUAUGAAGAAGCGAGGAAGUGUGAAGGUUAAUUUUCUUGAGCAGCCAUGCCAACGUUGUGCAGGCAUCACAGAGGGUUUGAGGAUUUAAAAAUCGUUAAUGAAUAAUCACUUUAAAAACCAUUUUCUACUGAAAAGAGGCACUGCAUGGCCCCUCUCCUCAGCUCUGCCUGGCUCCAUCAUUCCAGUUAUCUUUAAUUGUACCUUGCUCUCUGAUGUCUACUUGCAGUCUUAGGCCAGCUGACAAAUGUCACUGCUCUGGGCCAUUGAUCGAGGUAAUGGUUUCCAAAUGUUUACUACUUUAAACUUUAUCUCAUCUCUCUCAGGCUUUAAGGUUUGACCCUAAUAUAAAUUUCCUAAAAAUCUGAAAAUCAGUCCAUGCCCAUCCUCCCAG
rnacentral:lncRNA from 1 species